GAUCACGUCUGUGCAACAUGAGGUGUAAGACGGGGGGGGCUAGCGCGGCUCGGAAUGACUGGGCGUAAAGCGCACCGAGGCUGAUCAGCAAGUGAGGGGUGAAAUCCCGAGGCGCAAACACGGAACUGCCGUUAAGACUGCUGGGCUGGAGUCCGGGUGAGGUGAGUGGAAUUCCGAGUGUAGAGGUGAACUUCGUAGAUAUUCGGAGGAACACUAGUGGCGAAGGCGGCUCACUGGCUCGGUACUGACGCUGAGGUGCGAAAGCGUGGGGAGCAAACAGGAUUAGAUACCCUAGUAGUC
rnacentral:rRNA from 1 species